UCCAGUCGAUGGUUAAGUGGUAUAAUCUUUGCCUUUUAUUUUUAAGGGUCGUAGGUUCGAACCCUCUCCGGGAA